CGGAUGGCUGCUAUUGAUGUGUUAUCCCUAGCAUCAAGAGAUGGUUCUUCUAGAACAUCAGCCGGCGGUAGGUCUCAAUCUCCAUCUCCAAGCGAGCCUUGACGCCCAGCAGCCGCUGGUGGUCGGCGUUCUGGCGCUCUGAGUCAGCCCGCACCUGUUGGAGUUGCUCCUCCAGGCUGCUGAUCAGCUGCUGCACCUGAGACAGCUGGCAGCAGUACCCACCCUCGGUUUCAGCCAGCGAGCCUUCCAGGGACGACUUCUGCAAAUGGGAGAUAGACAGAAUUGUCUGGGGAUCAGAGAACAAGACGGCAGCCCACGGUCCAGCAUACGGUGGGUGCAACAUCUUUUUUUGGAAGUUAAGGGAUGCGUCGUCUCUCUCUGCAUGUCACCCUACCAUGGCAAGCUGGGACUGGAGUUCAAUCUCCAGGUUCUGCACCAUGCGCUUCAGGUCGGUGACCUCACUCUUGCUGGACUGAAGCUGCUCCGUAUUGCUGCUGAUCUCUUUUCGGAGCUCUCCGCUCUGUAACAGCAAAGUAAGUGGAUGGGGUGAGCUCUGCGCUGGCUCAAAGGGCUUUCUGGGAAUGCAUCAAAUCUUGCAGUGUUACCUUUUCAAGGAACCAGGCCUCUGCAUCUUUCCGAUUUUGCUCAGCCAUGGCUUCAUACUGGGCUCUCAUUUCAUUGAGGACCUUGGUGAGAUCCACUCCAGGGGCCGCGUCCAUUUCUACAUUGACCUCACCUGGACCACCUGCCUGGAAACUUUGGAGUUCCUAGAGACAGCAAUGGAGAGAGAAAGACACAGGAGUACAUGUGGCUAGUGAGUCCCCCAGAACCAGAAAGAAGACCGCCAUCAUUGCCAGAAAAGAUACACAGAGAGCCACCGCCCGAGCUUCCCGCUAUCCCCAUCCCCAUCCCCAUUCCUCCCGCGCCACCUCUCAGAGGUCCCCCAUAGGCAGAGCCAAGCCCCGGCAAGCAACCUGCAGAGCCACUGCUAAAGCCAGAACUAGAACCAAGCAUGGAAGCAGCAGAAAAGAGGCCUCCACAGCCAACUCCAAAGCCAGAGGCCGAUCCCCCAUAGCCGCCGGCAACACUCGAAGCAGAUGCACCCCAAGGUCUGCCUGCCGCCCCAUUCUGUGAGGAAGACCUCCUGGACAGUGCGGAGGUGCAGACUGAAAGCGACAUGCUGUUGCUGGAGAGUUGGUGACCCAAGAGAGACUGCAGUGCUGAUAUCUGACACACAAGAAAGAAGGCUGGGUGGAGCUGUCGUAAGGAAUCUGUCAUCUUCAGUUGUCCUCAGCACUGCCUGUAUCUUCCAGACACCAGAAGAGUGACGACUGGAGCAUUAAGGAAUCCUUCCGAAGCCCCAUGCUUCCUGAAGCUCUGUCCUCCCCUCCCCUGUCUAUUUCUUUCGGUUCGAUAUAAGCCAACCAACCAUGCUGUGGUUCUCUCUGUAGGAACAGUUUCAGAGGCAGAUGAAGAGCGCAUUCCUGGAAGGUGAGAAACAGAGGUGUUUUCCAAGCGGACAUUAGAAUCUGAGCUUGCAAGGUUCUGAAAGCAUCCGCUGUAGGGAGUUGUAGGGUUCUUGUUUUUCUGAAAAUGGAACACUUAAACAUGGGAGCCAGCUGUUUGGAAGUCGAACAUUUUGGUUAACAAAAGAUUGGCAUUCUUAGUGAACCAUGA